rnacentral:misc_RNA from 1 species
UCCGGCUUCUCGCCGGCAGUCCUCCUUGAGUACCCGGCCUGAUCCGCUGGCAACAAGGAGCAAGAGUUGCGCUCGUUGCGGGACUUAACCCAACAUCUCACGACACGAGCUGGCGACAGCCAUGCAGCACCUGUGUUACGGUUCCCUUUCGGGCACUCCCCCAUCUCUGGGGGAUUCCGUACAUGUCAAGGGUAGGUAAGGUUUUUCGCGUUGCAUCGAAUUAAUCCACAUAAUCCACCGCUUGUGCGGGUCCCCGUCAAUUCCUUUGAGUUUUAAUCUUGCGACCGUACUCCCCAGGCGGGGCACUUAAUGCGUUAGCUGCGGCACCCAGGGGGUCAAUACCCCGGACACCUAGUGCCCAUCGUUUACAGCGUGGACUAC